rnacentral:rRNA from 1 species
CAUUACAGAGUUCAUGCCCUCGCGGGUAGAUCUCCCACCCUUGCGUACUUCUAUCGUUCGUUGCUUUGGCGGGCCGUCUCGGCUACCGGCUCUCGCUGGUAAGUGCCCGCCAAAGGCCUAAAACUCUGAACAUUAGUGUCGUCUGAGUACUAUAUAAUCGCUAAAACUUUCAACAACGGAUCUCUUGGUUCUGGCAUCGAUGAAGAACGCAGCGAAAUGCGAUAAGUAAUGUGAAUUGCAGAAUUCAGUGAAUCAUCGAAUCUUUGAACGCACAUUGCGCCCCUUGGUAUUCCGAGGGGCAUGCCCGUUCGAGCGUCAUUAUAACCCCUCAAGCCUGGCUUGGUGUUGGGGCCUGCGGUCACCGGCAGCCCUUAAAAUCAGUGGCGGUGCCAUCGGGCUCUGAGCGUAGUAAUCCUUCUCGCUACAGGGCCCUGGUGGGUGCUUGCCAUCAACCCCUCCUUUCUCUGGUUGACCUCGGAUCGGGUAGGGAUACCC